rnacentral:lncRNA from 1 species
ACUCCUAGGGUUUUAAAUGCCUUCUCCGUCUCCGCCAACCAAUACUGGGCAUCUUCAAAGGAGGAUUUUCCUACAAAAGUGGAUGAGUUCAGUCUCCUGUACCUCUCUACGUAACCUGGGUCAAUCAUAGAAGGAGCUGGGUCCUGCAAAAGAGGGACUGGGCUAGGCUGAGGAUAGACUGGGGGGCCCUGUGGUGGUACUUGCUGAUAUGGUGGGGGCACCGGAUUAUACUGUAGUGGUGUUGGGCAGUACUGUGGCUAGGGCACCAGAUUAUACUGCGGUGGUGGCACCGGGUGGUACUGUGGAGGAGCAGGCUUGUACCAGGGUGGCUCAGGAUCCUCUCGCUACAGUGGUGACUGAACCAAAGGCAACAGGAGAGGGUCAGGUACCUCCCUUCUCUCCUCUCGGCCUUGUUGGGCAGUAAUGAGUCUCUCCAGCAUCUCAAAUAUCUUAUCAACAUCUUUCCAAAGCGAACCAUCCCAGGCUGCUCAGUUUAGUGGGGGUCUUCCUCUUCUCAUCUCUCCUAACCUGUAUUUCACAAGGAAGGGUUGAGUAAUGAUUCAUUGGUUUGGUGUUUCUAUAAGUAUCAUUGUGUAAAUGAUGAGUCUGAGGAACGCGGCUCUGAUACCAACUGUAACGGUCCCAGAAAUUCAAAAGGGAAU